rnacentral:rRNA from 1 species
UAGGGAAUCUUCCGCAAUGGGCGAAAGCUUGCCGGAGCAACGCCGCGUGAGUGAUGAAGGUCUUCGGAUCGUAACACUCUGUUAUUAGGGAAGAACAAAUGUGUAAGUAACUAUGCACGUCUUGACGGUACCUAAUCAGAAAGCCACGGCUAACUACGUGCCAGCAGCCGCGGUAAUACGUAGGUGGCAAGCGUUAUCCGGAAUUAUUGGGCGUAAAGCGCGCGUAGGCGGUGUUUUAAGUCUGAUGUGAAUACACACGGCUCAACCGUGGAGGGUCAUUGGAAGCUGGUAAACUUGAGUGCAGAAGAGGAAAGUGGAAUUCCAUGUGUAGCGGUGAAAUGCGCAGAGAUAUGGAGGAACACCAGUGGCGAAGGCGACUGUCUGGUCUGUAACUGACGCUGAUGUGCGAAAGCGUGGUGAUCAAACAGG